CACAGUCUCAUCCCAUAAUGUCUCCCUCUUCUAUCCUUCUCUCUCCUCCAGCACACAGUCUCAUCCUGUAAAAAUCUCUCUCCUCCAGCACAGUCUCAUCCUGUAACGUCUCUCUCCUCCAGCACAGUCUUAUCCUCACAGUCUCAUCCAGUAAUGUCUCCCUCCUACGGUAUUAGAUUCGGAGAUGGCUUCAUAGAAUCAGGAAUUGCGGCGCUGAACCAGGCAUGGAGACGUGAAGAAAUAUGAAGAGACCGGCCAGUACAGGGAAUCACUUCAGAAUGAAGAGGGUGGGGAGCGGAGCUGAUCACCAGUAUCACUGGAAGUCUUGCGAGAUUACGCAACCAGCCGGAGUCUCCGUGCGUCACAGCAAGUCACGCGAGAAACAAGACUAUGCAGAAGCCGAAGAUAAACAGUAAUGGAAGCGCGAGCAAGAAGUACGACAAAAUCAAACCUAUAAGUAGGAUAUCAUUUUAACCAUCCAACAAUGAAGCUUUAUUGAAAACAUCUGAAGAAAUACAGAGUAUUAGGAGAAUACAAUAGAAAAUAGGUCCGAGGACCCAACUUAGAACAUAACAAAAUGGACUAUGGAAGAUAUUGUGACUCACUACAGUCAUAAAGAUGAGACGACCAUUUCCACUAUGGAUAUAAAUGUAGAGAUUGCUGAGGUAUCCAGCAUAUCAAAAAGGAUCUCCAGUAACCGUGGUUCAGAAGAAGAGAUUGAGAAAACAUCAACCCCUAAUGAAACGCACAAUAUUGCAAACCCCUACCUUUGUACAGAAAAUCCAGAAUGUUUUACUUAUACUUCUAGUCUUCUGAAGUCUUCUAAAGUCCUAAAAAAAGGUGAUAAACAGUACAGUUGCAACACCUGUGGUAAGACAUUUGCUCGCAGUUCUAACCUUUUCAUGCAUAAAAUCAUACACACAGGUGAGAAACCCUAUGCAUGUAGUAUAUGUGAAAAAGGCUUUACUCAUAGCUCACACCUUGUGAGACAUGAAAGGGUCCAUACAGGAGCAAAGCCAUAUAUCUGCCCAGACUGUGGGAAAAGCUUUAACCAAAGCUCUAAUUUAGUAACCCAUCAACGAACCCAUACAGGAGAGCGACCAUUUUCAUGCACAGAAUGUGGCAAAAGGUUUACAGACUACUCUGCACUUGUAAGGCACCUGAGAGUCCACUCUGGUGAAAAACCAUAUUCCUGCAUAACCUGUGGCAAAGGGUUUUCAGAUCGCUCCAACCUUAUAGUUCAUCACAGGACCCACACAGGAGAAAGACCCUAUGUGUGUAUUGAGUGUGGGAAAGGAUUUACCGAUAGUUCUUCUCUUGCAAAGCACAGAAAAACCCAUGAUACAAAGAAGCUGUACAUUUGCUCUAAGUGUGGCAGAAGCUUCCUUGACUAUUCCUCUCUUGUUAAGCAUCAAAAAACUAAAGAAGCAACAGAUACUUAAGCUUAACCCACUGUUACUUCUAGCAUCAGGGCCAUAAACUAUGUGUAUUAUGUAUUUAUUUGUUGUGAAAUGUAUACCUAAAAUAUAAUAUGCUAAGUUUUAACUAUGUACAGAGAGAGAGAGAUAGAAAUGUGCCAAUCAACUGAUUUAUGUAUAAUAUUGUGUAAUUGUCAAAAUAUCAAUGAUUAUUUUAAAUGCAAUUGCAUCCCCGGUUUCUUCUACUAAAUGAUGAAGCAAUUUUUCAUUUAAUUUUCCAUCUACAGACCCAUAUGAAGGCUUGUUGUUUGCAGAACCAAUUGUGCUUGGUAAAGACAUUAAUUAUUUUACCACAAAAUCUAUGGUGAGGCCAAUAAAAAAAAUAUUUUUGGGGUAAAAUUGAAAAAAAUAUAUAAAAUUUUGCAACUGUGUUUCUUCACAGUACACUUUACGGUUAAAAUGAAAUAUUAUCUUUAUUUUAUAGAUCCCUAUAAUUACACUCAUACCUAGUUUAUAUAGGUUUUGUUUUGUUUUACUACUUAAAAAAAAUUUAAACAUGUUGUAAGAAAAUGAAAAUGCUUAUAUUUACCCUCUUGUGACCCGUAUAACUCUUAUUUUUUAUAUACGAGGCUGUAUGAUAGCUAAUUUUUUGCGCCGUGAUCUGUAUUUUUAAUUCGUACUUUUGUUUGUAUUGGACUUUUUGAUUGCUUUUUAUGAAUAUUUUGCUGGUAUAUGAAGUGACCAAUAAUUCAGCAAUUGUGGUAGUUUUUUUUUUUAUGUUAAUGCCAUUCACUCUGCGGUUCCAUGUUUUAUUUUAAUAGUUCGGACAUUUAUGCAUGCAGCAAUGCAAAAUAUGUUUACAUAUCUUUACAUAAAGAUGGCACAGAGGCAGGUGGAACCUUCCAGUCAUCAUGUCAGCUGUUUGGGACUCUGUGAUAACCCCAUGGUGGCCCUGACCAGCACCAGUAUUUUUUGACUGCCCUUAGUUGUCACAAUCGACUUUGAUUGCUUGAUCUAAGGGGUUAAUAGCCACGCAGCGAUCAACUUAAGUGACAUCAUUAUCAUGCACAGUAGCAGAGACCAGAGUAGAAGACAGAAGAGAGGACGCGCAGCAUAGGAGCAUAUGCAUAUGUGUUUUUUUUUAUCUUGGCUAUCUGAAGGGGGGCUAAUAUUUCUACCUAAAGAGGUCUACUAAUUCUACCUAAAGGGGGUAAUAUUUCUAAAUAAAGAGGGAAACUGUUUCUACCUAAAGGGGGUACUAUUUUUAACUGAAGGGGGGUAAUAUUACUACCUAAAGGGGCUAUAGCUGCCACUACCUAAAGGGGGCUCCUAUUACUACCUUUAGGGGGCUACUACUACUACCUAAAGCGGCCUCCUAUUACUACCUUAAAAGGGUUACUAUUAACUACCUGAAGGGGGCUCCUAUUAGUACCUAAAGGGGGUACUAUGAAUAUCUUAAGGGGAAUACUUUUACUAAAAAGACUUUCUUAAUGAUAUAAAAAAAAAAUUGGAUUCACAGAAUUUUUUUUACCAUAAAUACAGCAUUUGAAAAUAUACUUUUUAAAAGUUUUUCCUUUAUAAAUGAAGAAUUCCCAAAAUUGGAUACAAACAUAUAAUCACCAAUAAAUCAAUAGGUGUAUGUGUUAUUGGCUCAAUGGGAUGGAUAUUUUACAAAUAUAGAUAUACACGAAUCUAUGCACCACUAUUGAUAGCUUAAUAUGAACAAAUAGACAUAUAUGUACAAAGAAAAUUCUAAAUGAUAGUUUAAUAUGAACAAAUAGGCAUAUAUGUACAAAAAUUUUUAAAAAACAAAUUAAAGGGGUAGUCCAGUGGUGAAAAACGGAUCCCCUAUCAUAAGGAUAGGGGAUAAGUUUGAGAUUGCGGGGGGGUCUGACCGCUGGGGCCAGGCUCUCCAGCCAGAUAGCGGGUGUCGACCACCGCACGA